rnacentral:tRNA from 2 species
UGCGGGAUGGCGCAGUUAUGGAAGCGCGCUGGGCUCAUAACCCAGAGGCCGCUGGUUCGAAUCCGGCUCCCGCUCCCA